GAACGCUGAAACCAGAUGCUUGCAUUUGGUGGAUGAGUGGCGAACGGUGAGUAACACGUGGGUGAUCUGCCCUACACUUUGGGAUAAGCCUGGGAAACUGGGUCUAAUACCGAAUAUUCACACCACGUAGGGGUGGUGUGGAAAGCUUUAUGCGGUGUGGGAUGAGCCUGCGGCCUAUCAGCUUGUUGGUGGGGUAAUGGCCUACAAGGCGUCGACGGGUAGCCGGCCUGAGAGGGUGUACGGCCACAUUGGGACUGAGACACGGCCCAGACUCCUACGGGAGCAGCAGUGGGGAAUAUUGCACAAUGGGCGCAAGCCUGAUGCAGCGACGCCGCGUGGGGGAUGACGGCCUUCGGGUUGUAACUCCUUUCGCUAGGGACGAAGCCACUUGUGGUGACGGUACCUGGAGAAGAAGCACCGGCUAACUACGUGCCAGCAGCCCGGUAAUACGUAGGGUGCGAGCGUUGUCCGGAAUUACUGGGCGUAAAGAGCUCGUAGGUGGUUUGUCGCGUCGUCUGUGAAUCCCGGGGCUUAACUUCGGGCGUGCAGGCGAUACGGGCAUAACUUGAGUGCUGUAGGGGAGACUGGAAUUCCUGGUGAGCGGUGAAAUGCGCAGAUAUCAGGAGGAA
rnacentral:rRNA from 1 species